UACUUUUCAGAUUCACUAUUUCAAAUGC
rnacentral:sRNA from 1 species